rnacentral:rRNA from 1 species
AGGGAUCAUUACCGAGUUACAACUCCCAAACCCAAUGUGAACGUUACCAAACUGUUGCCUCGGCGGGAUCUCUGCCCCGGGUGCGUCGCAGCCCCGGACCAAGGCGCCCGCCGGAGGACCAACCAAAACUCUUAUUGUAUACCCCCUCGCGGGUUUUUUUAUAAUCUGAGCCUUCUCGGCGCCUCUCGUAGGCGUUUCGAAAAUGAAUCAAAACUUUCAACAACGGAUCUCUUGGUUCUGGCAUCGAUGAAGAACGCAGCGAAAUGCGAUAAGUAAUGUGAAUUGCAGAAUUCAGUGAAUCAUCGAAUCUUUGAACGCACAUUGCGCCCGCCAGUAUUCUGGCGGGCAUGCCUGUCCGAGCGUCAUUUCAACCCUCGAACCCCUCCGGGGGGUCGGCGUUGGGGAUCGGCCCUCCCUUAGCGGGGUGGCCGUCUCCGAAAUACAGUGGCGGUCUCGCCGCAGCCUCUCCUGCGCAGUAGUUUGCACACUCGCAUCGGGAGCGCGGCGCGUCCACAGCCGUUAAACACCCAACUUC